GCGCUGACAAUCCAGGACACAUUUGUGAUCUGAGGCCACUGGGAUCCAAGGUCAUGACUGGUUUUGAGCUGUCUGCCAGCAGCAGUGAAUCAGAGGGGCAGGGUCCAUUCGCAGAAAGGUCGCUGGGCGGGGACACCAAGGCCUUCGGAAGGCUCUGGUUCUGCUGCUCACUGCCUGUGUGACCUGAAGAAAACCAUGUGCCCUCCCUGGCCACAGGUGACAAUAGGAGGCGCGGUGAGAAGAGCCUGCAGGCUCCCAGCCUUCGCAUGGCUCGCCUCCCUCCCAGCAGCUCAGUGACGGGCUUGGGGGAGGCCCCGUGGAAUUCGGCAGCCCUCAGUCAACGAGCAAAUAGGCGUCCUCUGCCUGAAACUGCCAAGGGCUUUGUCCCCAGCCAGCCUCGGCACCAGGCUCCUCAAAGGAAACAUCAUGCCUCCAGCCCAGUGUUAAGAUGGAACGAAUGAAACCUACAGUCUGACCGGUCCAGGAGCCCUUCGGAAUAUCUUAUUCUACAGACGCAAUCCCCCACUGAGCAAUCUGGGUGCCUUUCUCCCCUGAGCAAUCCAAGCAACGGGCACAAAAUUCUCUGCUAGGAAUAAGCUGGCCACUACAGAGCAAGAGAAAUUAAUUUUUAAAAAAUUAGCAAACAUUAACUAUGAUCUAACAAGAGGGAUGCCUGAACUCCUCGUUCCACCAUGAGUGUUCCCUGUCUGCUAUUUAGCCUCAGUCGUAUGUUGAAUCCAGUCCCCACGCCCAAAGAUAUGGCCACGCUCUGAC
ensembl:lncRNA